CCUACGGGUGGCUGCAGUCGAGGAUCUUCGGCAAUGGGCGCAAGCCUGACCGAGCGACGCCGCGUGUGGGAUGAAGGCUUUCGGGUUGUAAACCACUGUCAGUGGGGAGGCCUAUCCGCAGAGGAAGCAAGGGCUAAGUUCGUGCCAGCAGCCGCGGUAAGACGAACCUUGCUAACGUUAUUCGGAAUUACUGGGCUUAAAGGGUGCGUAGGCGGUGCAGCAAGUCGGGUGUGAAAGCCCUCAGCUCAACUGAGGAAUUGCGCCCGAAACUGCUGUGCUUGAGGAAUACAGAGGUAUGCGGAACUUAGGGUGGAGCGGUGAAAUGCGUUGAUAUCCUAAGGAACACCGGUGGCGAAAGCGGCAUACUGGAUUAUCUGACGCUCAUGCACGAAAGCUAGGGUAGCGAACGGGAUUAGAUACCCUUGUAGUC
rnacentral:rRNA from 1 species